rnacentral:rRNA from 1 species
CCCUUAGAUGUUCUGGGCCACACGCGCGCUACACUGAUGCAUUCAACGAGUCUAAAACCUGCUCUGAUAGGGGUGGGUAAUCUUUUGAAUGUGCAUCGUGAUUGGGAUAGAUGAUUGCAAUUUUUCAUCUUCAACGAGGAAUGCCUAGUAAACGCAAGUCAUCAGCUUGCAUUGAUUACGUCCCUGCCCUUUGUACACACCGCCCGUCGCUCCUACCGAUUGAAUGAUCCGAUGAAUAUCAUGGAUUGAGGAUGCAAGUAGGUUAGCCUAUCUUCAUCUUCGAGAAGUGAAGUAAAUCUUAUCAUUUAGAGGAAGGAGAAGUCGUAACA